rnacentral:rRNA from 1 species
GACGUAGGGCGCGAGCGUUGUCCGGAUUUAUUGGGCGUAAAGAGCUCGUAGGCGGCUUGUUGCGUCGACUGUGAAAACCCGCAGCUCAACUGUGGGCGUGCGGGCGAUACGGGCAGACUUGAGUACUGCAGGGGAGACUGGAAUUCCUGGUGUAGCGGUGGAAUGCGCAGAUAUCAGGAGGAACACCGGUGGCGAAGGCGGCUUGCUGGGCUCAUGUCUGACGCUGAGGCGCGAAAGCGUGGGGAGCGAACAGG